GCGGGCACUGGGGCGGCGGGGCUGCGGGCCGGGCUCAGCGCCGCCGAGCCCCGCGGGCUCCUUCCCACAUCCUCCCAUCCAAGGCUUUCUCCGAGGGCCCUCUUCGGCGUCUCCAGUUUGCGCCGAGGAUCAAAGCAGAACCUGGACCUGAACCAGUUCCCCGAGGAACCGAAUGCCUCCUGAGUCGGGCACUGUUCUAAAACUGCAGACAUGGAACCAGGCAAAAGUCUCUGCCCUCGUGAAGCCUGCCUCAAGCAAGGGCCAGGGCAGGCAAAGCACAAAGAGCGCCCACCUCCUGUCAAAGAGCCGAGGCGAACCACAGGACCAGGUAGCAGGCUCCAGCGUCCGUGGCCUUCCCAUGGAGGUUCAAACAGUUGCUCGUCAGGGAAGGGAGGAGAUGCAGAGACAAGGGAAGCGCAGUCGCAGUCGAGAAACAAUGGUGCAGCCUUGGGGCAGGGUGCCGGUUCCCCCUCCAGGGAUGCACGGAACAAUGUCUUUGAGUUGUUUAUAGAACUAAAACCCCCAUCAAAUGGAAGAUGAAGCAUUCUUCAUUCCAGAAGACAGGAAGCACAGGAGCUCAGCAGGGACCUCCUGAGGCCAGAUUAAAGGAGCGCAGGCCCUGCACACACCCUGGUCCUUGUCAGCACCCCCGCCCUGGAGCCAUUGCUACAAAACUCCUCACCAAAUCCUCCUGGGUUGGGACACACAGUGUUCAAAGGCAGGAACCUGCUGUGUCCCCCUUUGCCUGGAGAAGUAUUAAAGCUCUUCUUUUCUACUUCACCCAGCUGUGUCUCCAAGAUUCCAUUCAGCGCCGGUACACGGAGGCCGCGUUUUCUGCAUCAGUAUUGAAGCCAGAACUGGAAUGCGGGCACUUGGUUCCGGUGCCGGCGCUUUAAACCAUCACGUUUUCAUUCCUCCAUGAGCGUCUCCAAAAAGACAUUUCAGACUUAUGAAAUGUACAUUUAUAUUAAGCACUUGGUGUUUAUUUUAUGACUCCACACCGUUUUAGUCAUAAAUAUGUAACUUAAAAAUUCUACUGCCAACAACAAACAUACAUCAUUUUGAUUCUGGUCUCACAUCAAAAGGACAGUGCCCCAAGCCUACAGGAACUAGGCACUCCGUCAGUGAAACCAUCACGGUGUCUUGGAUGGAAUACCCUUUUUAGUGGCUAUGGAAACGUGAAAUGAAUCUUCUGAAACCAUCCAAAGGGAAAAGGCUCUGUUGCCCUGAUUCUUAGCGAGAAGACUUUUUGCCAUAAAAUCGCCGUUACUGUGUUCCUGGGCCUGACAACCCGUGAUGAGGGAAAAUCAUAAUUUGUAUUCACAUCAGCUUCUGAAGGACAGAAGUAGGAAAAAGCAAAGGCAGUGAGGUGACUAACUUGUUUCUGGGGAAAAGUGAACGUUCUAAGUAGGAGACAGAGUUUCUGUUACCGCUAACCUUGAGGUCAUCAUGGGCUUGACCAAGACGGCAGUCUGUCGGGAGCUUCAGUGCAUGCGUGCUGCUGGACCCAAGAAGCUACAAGGUAAGUAAAAGGCAUGAUUGCUGCCCUCAGUGAGUUCCCCCUGAUCUGGGGCAUCCAGUCAUCUUCACGUGUGUUUGUUUCCACCUGUGAUGUGACCUGUCCUCUUGCAUUAUCUACAGUCUGCAGAGAGCCCUGCAGACUGCACUCUGCCCGGUCCCCUCUUUAAUGUUCCUGAAAGCUGUCCUCCGGUUACCAGCUUCAUCUCUUUAAACACAAAGCUGAUCACAGCCUGAUCCCUGCUCUAAAAGUCUGAGCCUCCCCCUUGACUGCAGGAGAAGAAAAACGUUCUCCUUGGGCGUGAUCUUCUCUUCCUUACCCACCGGGUCUUGCACUCCCGAUGCACCACAGUUCCUGUACUCACACUUGCUGGUCCUUGCUUCUUUUCUUAUGCUCACUCCACAGCUAUAGAUAGCUCAAUCUGGGACUUCUUCUAUUCUGAUUUACUCUUCUUAUCAGCUUCUUUUUUCCCAGUACUUAACAUACUGCACUUAUCGAAUAAUAAUCGCUAGCUCUACCAUGCCAGGCACCAUUCUAAAGAUUUCAUGUAUACUCACAUCUUCAUUCUCACAGCAAACAUACAAGAUGGGUGUAUUACUUUUUAAUUUAUUUUAUUGAAGUAUAGUUGACUUUCAAUGUUCUGUGAGUUUCUGCUGUACAGCAAAGUGACUCAGUUAUACGCAUGUAUACAUUCUUUUUCAUAUUCUUUUCCAUGAUGGUUUAUCACAGGAUAUUGAAUAUAGUUCCCUGUGCUAUACAGUAGGACUUGGUUGUUUAUCCAUUCUCUAUAUAAUAGUUUGCAUCUGCUAACCCCAAACUCCCAAUCCAUCCGCCCCCCCAUCCUCCUCCCCCUUGGCUACCACAAGUCUGUUCUCUAUGUCCGUGAGUCUGUUUCGUAUAUAAAUUCAUCUGUGUUAUAUUUUAGAUUCCACGUAUAAGUGAUACCACAUGGUAUUUGUCUUUCUCUGUCUGAGAUGGGUGUACCCAAUAGGAUUUACAGAGAAGCAGAGGAAGAACAGAGAGGCCAAGCGAUUUACCUAAGACCACUCGGGCUGUAGGUGGCAGAGCCAGGUCCUGAACUUGGUAAGUCUAAUUCUCGAGUUCCUGCUUUCGACCAUCACUCUGCCUCUAACAGAAGGGGUCCAACUGGUAUGGGAGGCCAUGUAGAUGCCCAGUCACCAUCUAAGCAUUGAAGUCAGAGGUACAAGCUAACAUCUUUUUUUUCUCUCCAAAAGGCUGUUAUUAAUUCAGUGGAGGAUUUUAUCAUUAAUGGUGUCUUAAAAUAAAGAUAACACUAAGUAAUUUUUUUGGCUGAAUAAAGAAGUCUUUCCCUAACUUCUCUCCUUUUCUCACCAUCACUGAGUCAUCACCAGGGUAAGUCUCAUCCUUCCAAAAACUUUCUAGGACAAAUCCUUAGCCCCACUGCCCCCAAAUUAAUGAUAAUAUCCUCUAGGUUUGCUGAUACACCCUCCCUGAAAUUGACCGUAAAUGCUUUGAUGGCAGAAAUCGUGCCUACUCUCUCUCUCCUGUUUUCAGUCCAACCACCCCUGGACCGCCUGCCCACCACAGCACUUAACUCUGCAUGUGUGCACUUCCAUGUUGAACACAUCUUUUAAUAGCUGGUGAGUGAAAUUAACAAAAGUAUGAAGUAGCCAAAUGCAGUUACAGCCAUGAUAAAUCUUCAUGGAAGAAAAAUGAAUGAGGAGCAGCUCCUUCCGACAUAGUGACGGAGACUGGAGCCAUGUGGAGUUCAUUUUCUUGCUUGGCUGUCAGUCAGAGUUGCGGAGCUUGUAAACGGAAGAGCUAAAUUAUGGAAAACAGGAGUCAAAAUGUACAAAUCUCUAGGCUCACACCUAAGUGAAAAUUAUUCAUAUAAUUUUAUUUAUUUGAUGAGCUGAAAGAAGACCAGGUGAGCACUUCCCAAACCGGAAGCAAUGCAGAAUCUGUCUUUUCAGAAGUCCUAUGGUAAUACUCAUUCCAAUAUUACAAGGUUGUUUCUAAAGCCUGGCAAACAGCCCAAUUCAUAUUGCCUGAGUGGUUUAAAUAGAGUUAUGAUAGAAAAAUCUUAUGGAACAGAUGGUUCACAAGACUCUAAUAGCCAAUCUGUUAUAGCCAAGAUGUCAUCAUUUUGAAAAAUAACUUCUAGGAAAGUAUCUUCUUCAUAUUUUGAAAGUAUGAUGUCAAAUGAAAUCCUUUGCUUUUUAAUUUUAGAUUUUAAAUUUGUGUGUUACAAUUUAAAACAUGUAUGUGUGUGCAAGCGUGUGGUUUUGAAAUAAUAAUUGCUGACUGUUGCUGCCUGGGGAGAAGAAAUUUCAAGAACCACUGAGCUAAAAUGGGAAAUGAAGGGUCACUGUUUAUGAAGAUUCAUACGUAGAGUAAUUUAAUGAAAUGACAAUUCACUUUGCAUCUCCUGUGCUUUGGGCAAUUAAUUUUACUGUGAAAUAUUAGACUUCAGCUCUGAGUUAAUGUCUUACAAAAUAAAGAAACUGUCGUGGACUGAGCCAAACAUGCCACUUCACGAUUAAAAACAGCAUAUAGGGAACUAUACUCAAUAUUUUUAACACCUAUAAGGAAAAGAAUCUGAAAAAAUAUGUGUGUGUGUGUGUGUGUGUGUAUAUAUAUAUAUAUAUAUGAAUGUAUAACUGAAUCACUUUGCUCUAUACCUGAAAUUAACACAUUGUAAAUCAACUAUAUUUCAAUAAAAAACAAUUUUUAAAAAACAUAUGCUGAGAUUUUAUUCUUAGAAAUAAAUUAAUUCGUAACGCAGUAAUGAAAAAAACUUCCUUAAUGAGCUUAGAUAAAAUAUAAUUACUCUCAUGACGCUUUAAGUUCAUGAAAAUGGAUUGUAUUGUGACGUAAAAAUACUGUUUAUAAAUAAAUACUGUCUAUAAAAAAAUUGAAUCACUGUGUUGUACACCUGAAACUAACGUAACCUUGUAAAUCCACUAUAGUUCAAUAAAAAUAAAGAAAUAAAAAUGCU